GCUAGCGCGCCCUCGUCCAGCCCCGCGCCCCAGCCCUGCCCGGCCCGGCGAGGAAGGACCGGGAAGAUGAACAACGGCGGCAAAGCCGAGAAGGAGAACACCCCGAGCGAGGCCAACCUUCAGGAGGAGGAGGUCCGGACCCUAUUUGUCAGUGGCCUUCCUCUGGAUAUCAAACCUCGGGAGCUCUAUCUGCUUUUCAGACCAUUUAAGGGCUAUGAGGGUUCUCUUAUAAAGCUCACAUCUAAACAGCCUGUAGGUUUUGUCAGUUUUGACAGUCGCUCAGAAGCAGAAGCUGCAAAGAAUGCUUUGAAUGGCAUCCGCUUCGAUCCUGAAAUUCCGCAAACACUACGACUAGAGUUUGCUAAGGCAAACACGAAGAUGGCCAAGAACAAACUCGUAGGGACUCCAAACCCCAGUACUCCUCUGCCCAACACUGUACCUCAGUUCAUUGCCAGAGAGCCAUAUGAGCUCACAGUGCCUGCACUUUACCCCAGUAGCCCUGAAGUGUGGGCCCCGUACCCUCUGUACCCAGCGGAGUUAGCGCCUGCUCUACCUCCUCCUGCUUUCACCUAUCCCGCUUCACUGCAUGCCCAGGUAAUUGAUACCCAUCGGCCAGGACUUCACUCACUUCACCACCAGUCCUUUCAAACUUGGUUCCCGAGAGCACACCAUACAACUAACACCUAUCCAGCUAACAGAUCCACCUUCAAGAGAUUAAUGAUCCCCUCUAAAUCAAGCUGACACUCCUUCAGGACUUACGAGGAUCGUCUGACAGCAAUGAUAUCACCCACUGCCUGAUGUUUGCCCCAAAUGACACCUCUCUCUUCCUUAAUGAUCUCACCUCAUAUCGCACAUGAGAGACCGGGGCAGGUUUAUCCACCUGGCUCCCAGCUAGCUAGAGGGCAUCACCAGAGUGUAUACGUGUGUGCCUUGUGUGGAAGGGCUGCAGAGGAAGGUGUGUGCUAGGAGAAGGGGAUAUGUGCGUCUGUGCGUGUUUCUGUGUGUUGAGAGUUUUCCACUCUCGUGUACGGUGAGAAGAAUCUCUGACCAAAGGGAAAGCUUCCAGGGGGGAAGGCUGUACUUUCUUAAAUAUGUUACAGGAAAGAUUAAGGGUUCCUUCUCUCCAUUUUCAGGAAACCCUGUAGAAAAGGAGAUACAAGAUAGUGUCUAAGAUGGAAUUACAGGUCAAGGUAGAGAUCUCUAUUCUGACCAGCUUUCUUUCUUAGUUAAAAAUAGCCUGAUUUUUAUAAACAAACUUCCUGUUUCUCCGCAAAGAUUACUGUCUACAUACUAACACUUCCUCUCCCCUUGGAGAAAAUAUUUCUCUUAGCUUCGCUUUUAGUGCAAGUGGUAGUAAUCAGUGUAAAGAUUCACCUUUGGAGAUCACCACUCAUUCUUUGGCCUGCAAAGAUUGAUGACCAGUAACAAAUAGAAAGUACGUACGUAGGUUUCAUUUGUCUUUCUGCAUGUGUAAUUCAGCCUUUACAUUUUAAAUUUUUAAAAAUUAUUAGGCUGGACAGGCAGAGUUUUCGUUUGCCUGUUUUGCUCAGUGUUUGUUUACAAGGCUGGGUGAAAUAAACAGCUUCCCAGAAAACCUCCUUCUGACUUAAAACUCUUUUAUGUUGUACAGAAUUCCCUGUCUUGAUAAAGACCACCUAGAAGCAGCCCCCAGCGAGGGUUCUUGAAAGUCAUGGGGUCGAGAUUGUUGUUGGCUGAACAUCUUUUAAUUCUGAGUUACCAACACGUUGUGCGUGCAUUGAUGACCCGGCUUCCUGGCCUGCCCUUGGUGCCUGAGCCCCAGUAAUGAUUGCCCUCUAUGUUGGGAGAAGAAGGGAGAAAGUAGUACAAGUAGUGAAGAAAAAAAUGUAGGUGGUGGUGGUGGUUGAGAGUACAUGGCACAGAAAAUAAAGGAGCCAGGAUUACCUGUGCCUUUGGCUUCUCCUUCCCCUGCUGCUUUUUCUUCCUUUUUCCAUGUCAGUGCUUGGGAACCCUCACAACUGGCAGGUAACGGGGUCGGGAUAAAAUGUAAACCUAUGAGUGUCUUCUGCUGAGUCAUUAGGAUCUUUGUAGCAGGCUGCGGAUAAAUAUGUGGAUGACAUGGGGCAACUAAGAGCCCCUUUUGCUUGCCACCUCCCACCCCUGCUCUGGAUGGUGUCUCCUCUUGCUAGACUGCCGGGUACAGAUCAUGUGGCAAUUAAGGCAAAUGUUAAUAAAUACCAUGAAACAGUGGUUUGCAUAGUCUUCUGAAUAGCCAUGGCUUUGGUUAGUCAGCAACAAAGCCUUUCACCCUUACCCUGGAUAAUCAAGAGUUGACAACAGCCAGAAAGUACUGGGAAUAGUGGCUUUUGGCCAUGACAUCUGCUCAUUCUUCAUGCAUGUAAUGGGUCAAAUCAGAAGUAAUUCUGGAGAUACGGUAUGGUAAGAGAAGGGCCUAAAGAGUCUCAAGAGAUUAGAAAGCAUAUGCCAUUGUAAGGAAGGAUGGGGAGAGACAGUGCCAAGAUUAGAUGGACUCAGCCAUUUGACUUAAUGGGAUGCAUUGCCCAUGGUGGCAACCUCCCCUGGGAGUUCUUCCUUGAUCUUGAGACUUUCCCAAACUGGAAUCCACUUAGCUCUGCCACAUCGGUCCCAGAUUUGGUGGGACUCUCCUCUGGUAUCAGUUUUCAACGCCACUUCUUGUUUGGAGUCAUUCCCAGUGCAGUCAUGGACUCUAUGAACAAAUACGGUUAUUUAAAUGUAUUUGUCCAGUAUGAGAAUCAGAAUGAACUAGUAGAGGCUUUACAGAUCAGCUGGUCUGACCCAUUUUACAGAUGAGGAAACAGGCCUGAGAAGAUGGAGGGAGUUACCCGCAAUCUGAAGGGGCUCUACCAUGACUAGACCCAGGUCACCUGCCUCCCAGGCCUGGCUCUUUCCACUCCGAGGUGCUGGCUCACCACAGACUUAUUCUUUAAUGGAAUUUUGGAAAGGCCUCACUCCAGUGACUCCUUGGAUCUUUCUUCUCUAAGUAGAUGGGAAGCCUGUAAGAAGAGACUUGGAGGCAAAGCAAAGGGAAUCAGCACUUAACCCUCACCCAAAGGGCCCAAGAGAAUCUUUAGUAACUGGAGGCAGAGCAGACUGGAGCCUCUACGGGGCAUCUCCCCAUAUUGGAGAAUUCAGUCUUUGUUUUGGAAAUCUUAUAAUGUCUUUGGAGAGGCUUUAAAUAAUUUUGUUUUUCUUAGCAAUGUUAUGCUCUAUUUUGAGACAUGGAUUUUUUUUUUCUUCUAGUGUUUCUCUCCUGAGGCAAAGCCCAACACACCUGUCUUUUGUCCACUUCUCCAGCAAAUUAGAUUUGUCUCUGGGAAUGUGUUUGUAACAUACCAACCUACUGCAGACCAGCAGAGGGAGCUCCCAUGUUGAAUUUGUUUGUUAGCUAUUUUCCCCCCUUUCACAAAAACUAUUUCUUGACGACCUUUGAGAGAUUUCAAUAAAAAUUUUAAUCAGAGCAAAAAUGAACUCAAGUAGACUGCAGCGUUUUGUUUUCAUGGUGAUGCAAUUUUGGAGCAAAGGUGUUACUCUCUGACUGAGGUUUUGGGAGAAUUGGGCCUGUGACACCAAGUCUAUUUUACAUAGAAGGACUCAGAACGAGCUUCCUGGAGAGGCCAGGUCCUGGAGCCGAGGCCACACUGCUGCUGCUUGUCUCUCCCUGGGCUCCCGGAAGAGCCACCAAGAGCUGCAUGUUGGAAGCGUCUCAUCCACCAGGAGACCUCACUUCAGCAGGGAUGCUGCGUCUAGCUAGGGGAGCCCCUGUGAAACAUGUGGGUGCAGUGUGCAGUCUGCCCACCGGGAUCCACAGGAAGGAAGACCAGGAGACAAAGUGUCAUUGAAAAGAAGUUGAGUCACAUUUCUAGCUCUGCCCCGGCUUCAGCUGUGGUCUGGUACCCCUUCAGAUUUCCCAGCUCUAAAGUAAGGAUACUUAUUUGCCAUCAGAUCCCAUGUUUUAGAAAUUAUUGGAUAAGGUAAUAGGACUGAAAGCCUCAGUACUGACUUAAUGUUUAGAGAUCAAAGAGCGACCCUGUGCAGCAGACAUCGGAUUUCUAAGAAGAUCAUUAACAUUUUUAAAAGUGAUCACCCAGUUUACUUUCAAGAUCAUUGGUAUUUGAAAUGUGUUAAUUAGGAGAGGAAACUUUCAUCUGUUGCUUUCAAAAAGCUUAUGCACUGAAGAGAGCACACAGCUGUUCUGUCACCUCACAUUCACACACUUCCGCCUCUUAGGUUUGAGCUCAUGUUCUGCUUUCAGUCUUGUUGUGAUGGGCAGAGAGAAAGUCGUUAAAGUAUACUGUCCUUACCACAUUCUCGAAACACAACACCAUACACCCUGUACUUCAGGCAGAGUCACAGUGUGGGGCCAGAAGCUUCUGUAGGUAAGUAGGACUGAGAGAGAAAGUCCUGGUUACCUGAUUCCUUUUCAGAGGCCUCAUUUGUCCAGAGUAACAGCAGUUCUAUCGGAUUUCUAAUAGGGCUGCUGUACAGCUUACCUGGACAUAAACCAAAGGUUUUAAAAUUAUAACACAGACUGCCUGAGGACAAGGCAUGCGUGUCCCUUGGGAUGGCUCUGUGACACACUGGAAAAAUUUUAAAGGUUAAACCCAAAAUAAAUACAGAAGUGGACCAUGGGAAGAGAGACAUAGGCUAACCAGGAAGGGAGCUCACAGAGGAGUAGAUGGGCCUGGGAAUAGUGGGUGGACUACCUGAAUUGCAGGGCUGUCCCCACCACCCCUGUAUCUGAGCAGUUGCUCAUCAGCAGGGUGGGACUUCCAAAAACUAGAUUUUAAAAAAAGCAAAUCGUAUUAAGCAUCUGCAUCACUAUGCCCUGUAGGAAAUAACUGAGGCAAAAGACACAAGGACUUCUGCUUUGGUGUCGGGUAUGUUUUGAAUACAUAGAGUGUUGGGGGGUGUCUCGAGGGCAGUGCUGCGUAUGGACCUCAGUGCGCACACAGCUCCUUAGGAGUCGCCCAGCAGCGAGACAGCUGUGGAUCCCCUCCAGGCGCAUGGGAGGCUCACAAGGCAAGGACUCUGAUGGUUUUGGCUUCCACCUCCUGUACAGUGGCCAGUGCUGUGAGGGUGGUUGGUCCCACAGGGAAACCUGUGAACAGAGUCAUGUCUGGGGCCCCAGGGACAUGGCUUCAACCCCUCACCUGGCAGUCCUGCCUCCCAAAAGUAAGGCAGGAGUCCGGAGAUUCCCAGUGCUUGCUUCUGUGAAUCUCAGGUCACUUUAGCACUUGACCCCUGACCCCAGACUGCCUUGUCCUUGAGGCCUGGGAUUCCUAAGGUAUAUACUGUCUGCUCCAGAGCUGUGGCUGUGGCUAUCCGGAAAACCACAGCUUUGAAGGACUGCAGAGCUUGCCUUUGGGGCUGUUCUGCCCAAGGCCUUCCAUUGUUUUCAGACAUAAAUGAAAUUGUUAAUCCUCUGACAUUUACCUUUUCCUCUCAACCUGCAGCUCUGUGAAGGUCAGACUGUGAGGAGAAGCCACCCCUUGAGCGCUCCAUCUCCUGAUAGUGCCAGCCUGGCCUGGUUUCCUGUUUGGUGAGGCUUUCUAGGAGCACCUGGCUUAGCUCUCACAGGAGGAGGGGCGGACGGGGAGGCCAGGCCUCAUGCUCACAGCGCCAGCCUCCUGUGAGAGUGGGCUGGGUCUCCUUUCCUUUCCCAGGCCCUUCCUGGGGGCGAUUUCUUUCUUUCUUUCUUUCUUUUUUUUUUUUUUUUUUUUUUUGAGGCAGAGUCUCGCUCUGUCGCCCAGGCUGGAGUGCAGUGCUGUGAUCUCGGCUCACUGCAAGCUCCGCCUCCCGGGUUCACGCCAUUCUCCUGCCUCAGCCUCCCAAGUAGCUGGGACUACAGGCGCCUGCCACCACGCCUGGCUCAUUUUUUGUAUUUUUAGUAGAGACGGGGUUUCACUGUGUUAGCCAGGAUGGUCUCGAUCUCAUGACCUUGUGAUCUGCCCGCCUCGGCCUCCCAAAGUGCUGGGAUUACAAGCGUGAGCCACCGAGCCCGGCCAGCCUGGGGGCAAUUUCUAUGCCUGCCUCCUGAUGCAGGGCCUGUGCUCUGAGCUGCGCCUUUCAGCAGAGCUCUGCGGGGCUUCAUUUCCUUUCUAAGCUCAUGGCAAGAAUGUAGGGUGGAAAGGACAGGCUCUGGAACUCCCUGGCCAGACAGGAGCUCUGCCAUUUACACGCUGUGCGACCUCAAUUGAGCAAGUUUCUUAACCUCUCUGGGCUUCAGGAAAAGGGCCAAUAAUCUUUCACAUAAACACUUAAGAGAAUGCCCGGCAUAUUAGAAGGGCUUCAUGUUUGCUUUAAAGGUAGCCCUUCCCAAGGAUCUUUUAAGGGGCACUUGAAUUUUCAAUAAGGAGAAGGAAGCCCAGGACUAAGCCUAAGCUACCCACAAGGCCGUGACAGUUAAGACACAGGAUGGCCAGCACAUGUGGAUGACACUAACGGGGGCUGCUAGAGACCUCACGGCUGGAGCCAAAUGGAAGACUGGCAAGCAUGAAUGAAUGACGGGAGUAAGAUGAGGCAUUGCAGUGACAGCACCACCCACAGCACCGAUUGACAGCACCUGCCCUGCUCCUGGCAGUGUGAUCUUCACAGCUUAUGCCAGCACUGGGAGAGCUUAUCCAAAAGAGGGCCUCCCCAAACCAGGCUGGACACGGCCACCGGAACACCCUUCUGACAGGAAAUACAUCCGGGGUGGAGGGGGCUGGGCAGCUGAAAUCCCAGAGACGGAAUGGCCCUUGCCCUCACGAGUUACUUUACACAAACCCACUGUCCCUGACCUUUCCAGCUGCAGCCAUAUCUCACUUUCCUAUCGGAGAAACUGGAGAAAGAAUCACAGGUCACCCAGCCCAUUCCUCCCUGGACUUUCUGGCACUUUCUUCCCACAGUCCUUCUGCUAGGAUUCUCCUCAGCCUCAUUUCCAGGCAAUGGAGUUACAUCUUGUACUUGGGGAUAUUGUUCUCUUCACAGUUCUGCCGUGAAACCCAAGAAUCUGCCCCCGGCCAGGCAGAUGCUCUCUCCCUGGUGACCCUCUCCACCUCUUCCGUCAUUUGCAGUGAGAGAGACAUCAGCAUUUUGUCCUUCACCCUCUUUAGAAGCAGUCCUCCAAAACCAUCCGUCCAGGGUGUUAGGGAGACAUGUUCUUUUGUCCAGAACUGCUGCUGCUACUGAGGCCCAGGCCUCUCCAUGUUGGGCAGUUUUAGGAGGAAAUGCUGUUCAGAAACCAGAGGCAGUCCCCUAGUGUAUGGCUGUGUGGCUUUGGCCAGGGUCACUCACGCCAAGGAGACUUCCGUAGAAAUCACAGUAUUAUUCAGGAUUGCCAGAACAUCUCAACGUGGGCCUCCUCCUGACUGGGGGCAGCAUUACUCUCCAUUACUCCAUUACUCUCCAUUUGGUACACUGUUUUCCAGGUUUCUAAGUGUGUUCCAUGUUGUCCUUUGCGGAAGGUUAAACUCCCCAGAUCCUACGCGCCUUCUCCCCUGUCCUUAAUAGUAGUAAGAGCCCAACCCUGAGUCCCAACAAGUCGCACCUGGAAGUGCCGUCUGCGCUCGGCUCUUCCCUGGGAUUAACAACCGCGUGGCCCAACUGUCACAGUCGGGUGCUGCUGAGCGCCUGGCACCUAACUGGGACUCAGUUUUUUAAAUCAAACAAACCUGAUUUUAAUGACAGUUUCUACUCACUCUGCUAAAUUUGGGAUCCUAGGCAAGUUGGUUUUUAACUGCACGGAGCCUCAGUUUCCUCAUCUAUAAAUGGGAAGAAUGAACAUCUCCAUGGGUUUAUUUUGCAGAAAACAGUAAGAUGUUCAGCUUAAAGUCAUAGUUAUGAUUAAAAUAGUUCUUCCAAUGCCUUCCCUUUGUCAGGAUUCGAUCUGGUGUGGCCCAGAGGCUCCUGAGCCCUCCCUGUAAGCUUGAGAAGCACUUAGAACACAGGGACUCCUGACCAGCACCCUGAUAAGAGAAACCUAAGGGCCUGGGCUUUUUGCUUUGGUAAAGAAGAGAAACACCAGAGCCGGGGUGAGAAUGGUCCGUGGCUGUGGCGGAUACCGAGAGGAGGCUGUCUGGUUGGGUCAGCUGGGUGUGCACCCAAGGUUUUUUUCUUCUGUAGGCAUAGGCACCCAGAUGCCGUCCGGAAAGUAUGUGAACUCUAACUGCUUUGGAAACAAAACCAAGGCCACAGAGAAACUUUGGAAUUAUAAAAUGUAGCCUUCAUAAAAGGGGAGAGUGAACUUUUCUGUGAAGAAAACCAAUUGUGACAGUAGGGGUAAAGGAAAAUCAACUCCAAAUGGAAUCAUGUUUUAUUCAGGAUUUGUGCUGCCGGUGGGGAAGGCCAGACCCAGCGACAGGAUGGGAAAGUGGGACACCCCAACUUCAAGCUUUGUGCGUUCUGCCACGAAGUUCUAUGCGCUUCACUGAGCUCAGCUCCUGGGGACCUCUAAUGGCCCUUGAUAGCAAACAUAGUUAAAAAUUAACAGACUGACAGAAUUAAAUAUGGAUGACAAGCAACCACUGUGGACUUAAUCUGACACAGGGUGUUACACGCUUGGGUGCUUUUAACCCAAGUGGCAUCUCAAGUGAACUUCUGAGAUGUCUGGGCACAUUUCACAUGCCUGUUUGGAAGCAGAGCCUAGCUUGUGCUUAGGACAGACAGGAAAAGAGUCUAAGAGCCCAGGAGAGAAAAUUCUCCCUGGAGGCUUUUGUUUCAUUAAACCCAGCUUUGAUCAGGCUUACCAGGAUGUACUCACAGUCCUACGACCUUGUCCUUGUGGUCUAGACCUUGUCCCUGCCUGGGCUCGGACCUCAGUAGCACCUGCCAUCGUGACUGGAAGAUCCGGCAAGAGCACAAGGCCAGCGGGGAGCAUGGCCUCCUCCAGCUAGGACUUUCUUGCUCACCUCUUUUCCAGCUGUUGGGGCAGGUGAGAUGGCAGCCUUAACCAAGGACCGAGUCAUACAAAUCUUGGCAUUCUGCCUAGAUCAUAGCGACUUAAUUGCCCUAGGCAAGGAGUAUUAGGUGCCAGACAGGUAGUGAAGAAUGCUGAUGGCGUUUUCAUGCCUGAGUCUGCUGAGAAAGAGUAUAGGCUGCCGAUUCUGGGGGGCAGGGAGAAGAGGAGCGGUUCCUUUACAAGAGGGCCUCAUUUCAUGCAGCAGCGAAAUUCCUAAAAAGUGUUCUUCCAGUUUUGGUGAGUGCUUUUUUAGAAAUGGAGGUGAGGGUUACUGUUUAAAAGAAUCUUGCAAUCAGCGCUGUAAGGAAGACAAUCUUUUUGUAUUGCACAUCAUCCUUCCAGCCUAUUCGAUGAGUUUGGAGUUUCUUGGACCAGAUUAUGCUGGGCUUGGCAGCCUCUCUUCAGCCUGGCAGUCUCUGACAGAGCUUGCUGUAAUGGCCUAACGUGCUUUAUUUGGUGAUGCUACCCAAAAGUGGAUCCUGAGGUCUGGAGCGAGUAGGGCAGAGCUGAUGGUAGGUAGUCACUGUGUGAGUGGUUCCCUGCAGUUGCUCAGUGUUGGGAAUGAGCCCCACAGCGAACUUCAGCGCUCCAUUCUAGGGAGAGUCAUGGAAACCUGCCUGAGAAUAUCCAUGCCUUCAAAACAUUAACCCAUUAGUUUGAGAUAACAUUCUUGUCAUUUACAUAAAACAACUUGUUCAAGCUACUGUGGGUUUUGUUUUGUUUUGUCUUUUGUUGAGGAAGUCUCCCUCUGUCACCAGGCUGGCAUGCAGUGGCGCCAUCUCAGCUCACUGCAACCUCCACCUCCCAGGUUCAUGCAAUCCUCCUGCCUCAGCCUCCUGAGUAGCUGGGACUACAGGCGCACACCACCACACACAGCUAAUUUUUUGUAUUUUUAGUAGAGAUGGGGUUUCACCAUAUUAGCCAGGAUGGUCUCUAUCUCUUGACCUCAAUCUACCCGCCUCAGCCUCCCAAAGUGCUGGGAUUACAGGCAUGAGCCACGGCGCCCUGCCCAAGCUACUGUUAUUAACUAUUUUGUUCAAAGAGGGAUAGCUGACUUCUGAAUGUGGUGCAGGGGAAACCUGCAUUCAGGUACAGCAUCUGCACUAGGGAAGGUGAGAGAAAAUCUGUAGCUGCUCCAUGUACAUGAGACAUCAGAGCACUAGCCGGUUUGGUGGUCUGUCUUCCAGCUCGAAGCAUGCAAAUGGCACAGCCCAGCCUCUUAGAUCCACCAAAUGCUACCACUGGAAGGGACCUUCCAGACCAGCGUUUCUCAACACCCACAGGGAUUCACAGCUGUUCCAUAAUCCAGAGAUCCUGCAGUCAGAUAAACUUGGGCAGCACAGGUCUAGAUCAAGUCAAACAGGUUUAUUUUGGAACUUCUUGGAGCCGUUACUGUGCCCACAUGUAUCAAGAAACUGCUGAAGGGACCAAAUUGUGCAUUUCUCUCUAAUGUCCUUGACAUUAGAGCAUUUCUAGACCAGUGUUCUUCCAGCCAUACUUUUCGAAACCUUAAUUAAAAGCAGCAUCUCUCAGACUUGACCAUGUGCCUGGUGAUCACCUGGGGGGCUGGUUACAGUGUCGUUUAUUGGAUGCCUCUUCCAGAGUUUUGGCAUUUCUGACAAGUUCCCAGGUGAUGCCGAUGGUCCAGGAACCUGAGAACCACUGGUCUAGGCUUACCCCUUCAUUCCCCAGAGAAGAAAACAGUCCAACCAGAGAGUAUUUGCUUUCAGUGGUGACUAUUAAUUGAGCCGGUCACCUGCUAAGCACUUCUCGUGACUCUUUCUAAGGGCAAGUAUGAUAGUGGGAUUCAGCCCCUAGAAAGGGGAUAGCGCAAUGCAAAUCAUUACUGUAGAGUUUUACCCUGUGCCAGUCACUCACCACUGCAGAAGGGUUGGUACUUCAGACAGGGCGUCCUCCUGAGACUAGUCAAGGUCUUCCUGUCCUUGGCAUCAGUAUUAGGAACAUAAAUUCUGUCUGUAUUUAAUCCUCUGGCCCUUCAUUUUCUCAUCUAUAAAUGGAAGAGGAUGGAAAUUAUUUUUAUGGGUGGGUACCGCUUUCUCUAGCAUUCCAUUUGAUUUUUACUCUGAGUUGCUUCUUUUUCUGGGUAUCUUGGUGCUCUCCUGUUGUCCAAUCUGUCACCAUGCUGAGUGCUGGAGGCUUACAGUGUUAGCCAUGCAGGGGCACUGCAUUUUCAGAGCAUUCCUGAAGAAGAGGGAUGGUAGAAUCCCAAACAGUGUGGCCCUGGGUAGUGAACUGUAACAUGGUAAUAAUUUACCACUAUUGUUCAGUUCUAGUGGAGAAGAUUUCCAGGGUCGUCCACGUUGCCUUAGAUGUCACAUGCUGUGUGAAGUGCUUAGCGCGGUCUCUGACGCAGACUAAAUGUCAGGGUCAGUUUGGUUAAGUAUAUUGUGUUAAAGCUUCUCACAGGGUCUUGAGAAGCCCCUGGAAUUGUGUGCAAGACUGUGAGUGUGCACAUUUGAGAGAGAGAACUAUGGGAGGAGAGAGAGAGGGUGUGUGUUUGUGUACACAUACGUUUUCUGCACAUGGCAUGAAGAAAUGUGAGGGGCCGCUGCCUUGCAUGGAAGGCCAGCCCUUGUCACAUUAUUCUAAUGAGGAGCCCUAAACUAGCCUGCUGAACUGUUUGGAGAGGACCUUGACGCAGGCAGUCUGGAGGGAACUGUAGGUUUCCCGGUUAAGAAGAAUUGUAAAGCAGCCCUUAUGGGAUGGGCAGGAGUGACCUGGGGCCAAAAGCCCAGCAGAACAAGCAGCCCGAAUGGGGCUAAGAGAGAACCCUCUCCUCAUUACCCCCCCACAGUGAUGAGCGCAGAGCAGCUUGUUCCCCCCAACCGGGCCGGCUGCCCGAACUCUGCUGUGCACCAUGAGCCCUGCCGCUCUGCCCGGCUGUGGUGCGGGAACCUGGAUGAGCCGUUCAGACUUGGCCAGGGGGGCACUGCCCUCUGCUGGAAGCUGGGCGCAGUGGAGCCUCUCAGGCUGGAAGAGGAGGCAGCCGUGGGUGUCUGUGGAUGCGGUGAGAAGAGCCCCCCACUUGGCAAGCACGUAGUGUCCUAGCCUGAGACACAAGAGCAAUGAAUUCAGGGGUCUGUGUCCGCCACCCGCCACCACAUCCACUGUGAGGAGCAGCCACCUAUUGCAUCACUGGCGUCCUCACCCCUCAGCUGAGCACAGCCUCCCCUGGACCCCACAGCUCGGAACCCGCCUUCAUGUCACUCUGGAGUGCGCCUCGACCAGGGUGACGAGAGCCUGAAGACGGGCUGCACGCUCGUCCCCAACCCUGCAGGCACCUGUGCGAGUGAGAACGUGAGGGCUGUGUGCGAGAGCUGGUCAGAGAGGCUGGGGCAGGGCUUCCUUCUCGCAGUCACCUGCACCGAAAGCAGAACCAUGCCAUCCACUGUGCGGCUCUCCUCCCCGGGCAGCCCUCCCCUUCCUGUGUCUCCUGUGAAACACCGUCAUGUCUUGGCCUCGUCGGGGCUCAGCGCCCCAACCCACACCCAGGCCGCACCAGUCACACCACUGCGCUCCACACUGACCCAGUGCACACAGACCCAUCACCCUCUACUGUGUGUUUAGGUGUCCAGCCCCCCACCUGCCAUGGGGGCUCUGUGUCCCCGCCCCGUCCUUUCCCACCUAUCUCAGGAAGGCAGCUCCAACUCUGCUCUUUGCUUAGUGAGCAAGUGGAUUCAGAUGCACCAGGCCGUGAGCCGUGGAUGCGCUGGCUCCCUCCCUCCGAGGCUACUUCUCAGGGCUGGAAGUCCCGUCAGUUCUGCUGAAUACUAUGUCCCAGGUGUGUGAUGGCGGCUGCAAUCUGUCUUGUGGGUAUUAAUGCAAUCUUCAGUGGUGGCUACUGUUCUCUAGCUGUUCUACAAAACUGGAGCAUGCUGGCUUGAAAAACCCUUGCCCAGUUUUGAUCCCUUCAAGACUUUGUCACAGCCUCUAUCACACAUCUGUUUUUCUCGAAGAAAAAAAUAUAAUAAAAAUGUUUUACUCUUUUACACUGUAUAA